UACGUAGGGUGCAAGCGUUGUCCGGAAUUAUUGGGCGUAAAGAGCUCGUAGGCGGUUUGUUGCGUCGGCUGUGAAAUCCCGAGGCUCAACCUCGGUCUGCAGUCGAUACGAGCAAACUAGAGUGUUGCAGGGGAGACUGGAAUUCCUGGUGUAGCGGUGAAAUGACGCAGAUAUCAGGAGGAACACCGGUGGCGAAGGCGGGUCUCUGGGCCGUAACUGACGCUGGAG
rnacentral:rRNA from 1 species